rnacentral:rRNA from 1 species
UCGCAAGCUCGCGAGAGUAAGCUAAUCUCCUAAAGCCGUUCUCAGUUCGGACUGUAGGCUGCAACUCGCCUACACGAAGUCGGAAUCGCUAGUAAUCGCGGAUCAGCAUGCCGCGGUGAAUACGUUCCCGGGCCUUGUACACACCGCCCGUCACACCAUGGGAGCCGGUAAUACCCGAAGUCAGUAGUCCAACCUCGUGAGGACGCUGCCGAAGGUAGGAUUGGCGACUGGGGUGAAGUCGUAACAAGGUAUC